rnacentral:rRNA from 1 species
UACGAAGGGGGCUAGCGUUGUUCGGAUUUACUGGGCGUAAAGCGCACGUAGGCGGAUUGUUAAGUCAGGGGUGAAAUCCUGGAGCUCAACUCCAGAACUGCCUUCGAUACUGGCGAUCUCGAGUCCGGAAGAGGUGAGUGGAACUCCUAGUGUAGAGGUGGAAUUCGUAGAUAUUAGGAAGAACACCAGUGGCGAAGGCGGCUCACUGGUCCGGUACUGACGCUGAGGUGCGAAAGCGUGGGGAGCAAACAGG